rnacentral:rRNA from 1 species
AUACGGAGGAUCCGAGCGUUAUCCGGAUUUAUUGGGUUUAAAGGGAGCGUAGGUGACAGUUAAGUCAGUUGUGAAAGUUUGCGGCUCAACCGUAAAAUUGCAGUUGAUACUGGCUGUCUUGAGUACAGUAGAGGUGGGCGGAAUUCGUGGUGUAGCGGUGAAAUGCUUAGAUAUCACGAAGAACUCCGAUUGCGAAGGCAGCUCACUGGACUGCAACUGACACUGAUGCUCGAAAGUGUGGGUAUCAAACAGGAUUAGAUACCCUGGUAGUCCACACAGUAAACGAUGAAUACUCGCUGUUUGCGAUAUACAGUAAGCGGCCAAGCGAAAGCAUUAAGUAUUCCACCGGGGGAGUACGCCGGCAACGGUGAAACUCAAAGGAAUUGACGGGG